rnacentral:rRNA from 1 species
UAGGGUGCAAGCGUUAAUCGGAAUUACUGGGCGUAAAGCGUGCGCAGGCGGUUAUGCAAGUAAGGUGUGAAAUCCCCGGGCUCAACCUGGGAACUGCAUUUGUGACUGCAUGGCUAGAGUACGGUAGAGGGGGAUGGAAUUCCGCGUGUAGCAGUGAAAUGCGUAGAUAUGCGGAGGAACACCGAUGGCGAAGGCAAUCCCCUGGACCUGUACUGACGCUCAUGCACGAAAGCGUGGGGAGCAAACAGG